rnacentral:lncRNA from 1 species
ACUCAAUGGAGGUGACCAGGAAGCCUGGAGGGGCACACUGAGGCCUCUGAUGCUCAGAAGCCCAGCACAGAUCCAGCAUCUGCCGAGCAUGUGUGCUCAGACCCCCACGAUGGCCCCCGCUGAGGGACGAGGAGGGAAGCCUGGGAAGGGCAGUGCCCAGGUGGCCCCUGCUGGGGGUGGCAGGGGGGGUCAGCUCCACACUGCACACAUUGUCCUGGAAGCUCUGCAGGUCACCAGCACACAGAGGUAAGCGUUGCCCACCCAGGAGCCAGACACCCAAGGAGGGCUUGCAGAGUGAGAAGACAGGCCAGAGGGUGGGGAGGGCGACACGGAGGGAUGGUGCAGUAAGGGAAGGCCCCGGGAGAGAAGGAGCAGAGUAGCGGGAGGAAAGCGGGGGAAAGAGUGUCAUGAAAGCAAGGUACAGCUCCCACAGUGGGGAAGAGGAUUCUGAGGGUCAGAGUGGUGACCUGACUUACCCAAAGCCGGCCUUUGACGCAGAGGCCCCUGCUCCUCUUCCUGUUGAGAGAAGCCAGGAAUGGGGAGGGAGAGGCAGCAGAAUGAGCUGAUAGUUUCUGUUUCUUUUAAGUCCAUUUUGGUAGAUUGUGUUUUUCUAGGAAUUUGUCCAUUUCAACUAACUUACCUAAUUUAUCCAGUUAAAUGAUCUAAUUUGUUCAACUAAAUAAUUUAAUUUGUUGGUGUAACGUGUAUAUUCAUAUUGAUGAGUUCUCUGUGGUCUUUGACUUUUACCCUUGGCCCCUUAUGAGGUAAACACAGGCUCCGAGGGACCCUCUAAGAACAUAAGGCAGAGUCCAUCCCCCAUCUGCUUGCAACUCUUCCAUGAGCCCUUCUCACUCAGGGUCAAAGUCAAGGUGCCCCCCCAUCUCUCUGACCUCAUCUCCCACUCACUCACCUGCCGUGCACUGCUCCAGCUGGCUGGCUUCUCCUCACGGUGCUGUGUGGUGGGCACACGC